rnacentral:rRNA from 1 species
AGCAGCCGCGGUAAUUCCAGCUCCAAUAGCGUAUAUUAAAGUUGUUGCAGUUAAAAAGCUCGUAGUUGAAUUUCGGGAUUAGUGCGCUGGUCAUGCCUUUGGUAUGUACUGGUGUUACUGAUUUCUACCUUCUGAAGAACCGUUAUGUCAUUCAUUUGGUGUGGCGGGGAAUCAGGACUGUUACUUUGAAAAAUUAGAGUGUUUAAAGCAGGCUCGCGCUUGAAUACAUUAGCAUGGAAUAAUGAAAUAGGACGUUUGACCCUAUUUUGUUGGUUUCUAGGAUCGACGUAAUGAUUAAUAGGGAUAGUUGGGGGCAUUAGUAUUCAAUUGUCAGAGGUGAAAUUCUUGGAUUUAUUGAAGACUAACUACUGCGAAAGCAUUUGCCAAGGAUGUUUUCAUUAAUCAAGAACGAAAGUUAGGGGAUCGAAGACGAUCAGAUACCGUCGUAGUCUUAACCAUAAACUAUGCCGACUAGGGAUCGGAUGAUGUUAUUUUAAUGACUCAUUCGGUCGG